rnacentral:rRNA from 1 species
CUAGCGUUGUCCGGAAUUAUUGGGCGUAAAGAGCGCGUAGGCGGCCAGAUAAGUCCGGUGUGAAAGUCACAGGCUCAACCUGUGAAUGCCGCUGGAAACUGUAUGGCUAGAGUCCGGAAGGGGCGAGUGGAAUUCCUGGUGUAGCGGUGAAAUGCGCAGAUAUCAGGAGGAACACCAGUGGCGAAGGCGGCCGCCUGGGCCAGUCCUGACGCUGAGCCGCGAAAGCGUGGGGAGAGAUCCGG